rnacentral:rRNA from 1 species
AUGCCCCGCCACCGGCCGACCACCCACCACCGCAGCAGCACGUCGACGCCUCUAGGACACGCCGUCGGCCAACUUUGCCCUCCUUUUCUCUCUCUUCCUUCGAUUAGGCAUGGUCAAGCACUCGCGCCGGCGAGGCCUCUGCCUUCUCCGGGAGCGGGAUGGACGGCAGCCUCGGGCUCGACCGCGGCCGGCAACGGCGGCCUCUGCCUCGACCAGGGGCAGGACGGGCGGCGGCCUCGGGCUCGACCGCGGUCGGCAACCGCGACGGCGGUCUGUGCCUUAGCCCGGGACAGGAUGGGCGGCGGCCUCUGGCACGACAAGUGA